rnacentral:rRNA from 1 species
UACGGGGGGAGCAAGCGUUGUUCGGAUUUACUGGGCGUAAAGGGCGCGUAGGCGGCGCAACAAGUCACUUGUGAAAUCUCCGGGCUUAACCCGGAGCGGCCAAGUGAUACUGUCGUGCUAGAGUGCGGAAGGGGCUACUGGAAUUCUCGGUGUAGCGGUGAAAUGCGUAGAUAUCGAGAGGAACACCUGCGGCGAAGGCGGGUAGCUGGGCCGACACUGACGCUGAGGCGCGAAAGCCAGGGGAGCGAACGUG